UGCUAAAACAUAAUUUCCAAAAAUGAAACUGACUAUUCUGUGUCCGCUGUCUAAGAUAAUUUAAAGCUAAGCUUUAGUAAACUAAGGUGUCCCACAAAGAAAGACAUUUAUUAGACAUACUGCUAAGUCUAACCAUACCCCUUUAAUUUGUUGCUUACUUUUUGAUACUGUUUCAGACUAUACAGGAGAUUGAGCUGGGACUUGUUUAAGACAUACAUCAUCAUCCAAGCCAACCUCUAGUUGACAGGAUUUCGGAAGAAACAUCUCAGGACUACAGUGACCUAUUUAGACAUUAGUGUAUUCCUCUUAAUCAUUCACCUCCAGUUACAACUACUUCAAACCAACUGCACCACUGAAAAGCCACCUGCUUUACCAGGCUCAAGAGAAAACCAGGCUUAAAAGCUGCUUCAGGCAUGAAGAUAGCAGCUACAGCUCUGCUAUAUCUUCAGAACAUCUGCAAAUCUACUUCAUCUCUGCUUUUUAACUGACAGUAUUUUAUCCUGGUUCCCAAGAGAACCACACUAAAGGAGUAUGGUUUCAUACCGGUGUAUAGAAGGGACUGUGCACGUACAAUCUUUUUGCAAUAUAACCAACUAUCUUUUGUGAACAAAGUUCCUGUGUAAAACCUUGAAGAGUUACCCUUAAGCUUAUUACAAGAUAAAUCCCUGCCUAUAGUAUUGUGAAGAUGCCAGUAACACAGACAGAUUGUCUCCAGGACACUUCUACGCCCACUUGUGAUUGUGAAGAACACCUGCCAAGCUACCUGUUUCUCCUCUCCACACAUUGCUGAGCUCUCUGGACAUUCCUUUCCCCACUGGUGGCUGACCGCUCCAGUUCCAUUAGUGGCCCCAGUCCUUAAGGAAAGACCCUGUUACCUCUCCUCUUCUUAGGAAGAGGAGGAGGCUGGUAGAGGCAGCAAGACUGGCUUCUCCUUAUUUCCAGCUGCUUUUAUAGGCUUCCACACUCUUCUUUGCAAUGAACAACCUAGAGACCUGUAGAAGCAACUGUCAGAGAGCAAAGAUCAUGUGAUCUGGCAGCUCCUGGGCCAUCAGUCAGUACUCUGGCUAUCACCAAUCGUCCACAGACCACAGUUUGGGAACCACUGGUUUAAACAGUAAAUGUAGAAGCAACUGAAGCUGAUGUUCUGUUAUUUCUCAGUGUUCUCCCUAUUGGAUGUUCACAGAUAGUUACAUAUCUUGUUGAAGGCUGCAAUGGGUAGAUAUAUUGCAAUACCAGUAACAUUAAAUGGAACAUGAUGAUUUACAAUAGAC